rnacentral:tRNA from 1 species
GUUCCAGUGGCGCAAUCGGUAUCGCGCGGUACUUAUAAUGCCGAGGUUGUGAGUUCGAGCCUCACCUGGAACA